rnacentral:rRNA from 1 species
UACGGAGGGGCUAGCGUUGUUCGGAAUUACUGGGCGUGAAGCGCACGUAGGCGGAUAUUUAAGUCAGGGGUGAAAUCCCGGGGCUCAACCCCGGAACUGCCUUUGAUACUGGGUAUCUGGAGGUCGAGAGAGGCGAGUGGAAUUCCGAGUGUAGAGGUGAAAUUCGUAGAUAUUCGGAGGAACACCAGUGGCGAAGGCGGCUCGCUGGCUCGAUACUGACGCUGAGGUGCGAAAGCGUGGGGAGCAAACAGG